rnacentral:rRNA from 1 species
GACGAACGCUGGCGGCGUGCUUAACACAUGCAAGUCGAACGGAAAGGCCCUGCUUUUGUGGGGUGCUCGAGUGGCGAACGGGUGAGUAACACGUGAGUAACCUGCCCUUGACUUUGGGAUAACUUCAGGAAACUGGGGCUAAUACCGGAUAGGAGCUCCUGCUGCAUGGUGGGGGUUGGACAGUUUCGGCGGUUGGGGAUGGACUCGCGGCUUAUCAGCUUGUUGGUGGGGUAGUGGCUUACCAAGGCUUUGACGGGUAGCCGGCCUGAGAGGGUGACCGGCCACAUUGGGACUGAGAUACGGCCCAGACUCCUACGGGAGGCAGCAGUGGGGAAUAUUGCACAAUGGGCGGAAGCCUGAUGCAGCAACGCCGCGUGCGGGAUGACGGCCUUCGGGUUGUAAACCGCUUUCGCCUGUAACGAAGCGUGAGUGACGGUAAUGGGUAAAGAAGCACCGGCUAACUCCGUG